CCUACGGGUGGCUGCAGUGGGGAAUAUUGGACAAUGGGCGAAAGCCUGAUCCAGCCAUGCCGCGUGUGUGAAGAAGGCCUUCGGGUUGUAAAGCACUUUCAGUGGGGAAGAAAGCCUUGGGGCUAAUACCCUCGAGGAAGGACAUCACCCACAGAAGAAGCACCGGCUAACUCCGUGCCAGCAGCCGCGGUAAUACGGAGGGUGCGAGCGUUAAUCGGAAUUACUGGGCGUAAAGCGCGCGUAGGCGGUCUGAUAAGCCGGUUGUGAAAGCCCCGGGCUCAACCUGGGAACGGCAUCCGGAACUGUCAGGAUAGAGUGCAGGAGAGGAAGGUAGAAUUCCCGGUGUAGCGGUGAAAUGCGUAGAGAUCGGGAGGAAUACCAGUGGCGAAGGCGGCCUUCUGGACUGACACUGACGCUGAGGUGCGAAAGCGUGGGUAGCAAACAGGAUUAGAUACCCAGUAGUC
rnacentral:rRNA from 1 species